UGUUUUGCAACAGUUCAUAGAGCCAUGCAAACAGCUUGAAUGGGAUUCCAAAGAGACAGAGAUAUUUCUUAGUUCUUUAGUGGAUACAUGUAGCAAGUUGGACUCCUUACACAGAAGCAGCCUUGAACGCCUUAUUCCUGUGUAUUCCCGCUACAUGACCGUCUCACAAAAGUGCAUUGUGAGAAUGUACCAUGAUUGAGUGACAAGUGAAAGAAACUUCACGACUUUCCUGAAGCCAAGGGCUUCAGCAACUGGCUGAGUUCCUUAGCUUUGGUGCACGGCAUUUCACGCGCGCAGUUCCACUCUCCUGCCAGAUGUAAAAUGUGAGAGCAACAUGAAAUAUGCUUAGAAGACCUUGUGAAGCCGAAGAGGCGAACUUUAGAAACCAAAUUUUUCGUUCUUUACGAGUCUUUCGACCCCUGAAGCACACGUACGUGGAGUGAAAUUUAUUGGGCUUUAUGCAGCUGUUGGUUUUAUUACGAUUCGGGACUUUUCCUUUUGAGAUGAGAGCGAUUUGUGGAGUGACGUCUGGCCAGCGAUCGAUGAAGCGGUCUGCCUGUCACUUCUUUUAGAAGGAGAGAGAACGAUUUCGAACAACUUCACUAAACGGCGUCAGAAUGGCUUUAAACUCGGCACAAGAGACAAGUGCGCGACACAUUUGAGAUAGUAAAACUUUAUUUCAGAUUAGAUAGUUAUUACACAAUUUUUUACACGAUUUUUUAACGGGUCACCUGGCCAAGUAGAAACCCCGAUGAACAGGGCUUAACUUUGUUGAGCCGACGAGACGCAGUGCUGUCCUUGUGGUAUUAAUUUUUAUGACUCUACGUGGGAUACAUCUUUCUUUUUUUCUGAUUUUUAAGAUCUCUUAAAACAAAGAAAAAAAAUCACUGAUAUUGGCUGGAAAAAUAAAGAACGACAGAAAAUCGGACAAGAAGCGGUACUUUCUUUAAAUUGUCUUGGACGGGGAUCACGGAAAACUUCAUAAAUAUUUUCAACGGUGUCACGUCUCCGUUUCGUUUUGCACUCUUUCUUAGUGCCAGUGGGCUUAAACUCUAACUCUACGGAUUAGAACCUCAAGUAAGUGGCAUCAAAAUCGUCACUGUUUACAGACGGUCCAUUUUCCAAGUUCAGUGGCUCAUAGCCACCUUGAUUUUCUCGCGGCACAUAUCAUGGGUAUCAUUGACACACAUUUAUAAAUCGAUCCUUUGUGAACUUUGAGCUAGGUUUUGGUAUACGUUUGCAUGCCGUGGUUGUAAUCCGUGCUUUAAGGAUUAAUAAGCCGUCUGAACCGUGUAUUUUCCGUAUUUUUGUAACGUUAAUAGUCGGGAGUAUAACCGUAACAACAAUACUGGUGAGCUUAAUACCGGUUGGCAGACUUGGCAGAACGUGAAUAAACUUCUCGAAAUUGGACUACA